AGACAGAGACUACAAAACCCAACUUGUUGUUGUCUUCAAUGAUCCAAGAUACUUGACAAUGUUUUUAUGAUUCAAAUUCUACAAAUAAUUCAAAUAAGAUACCAAAACCCAACUUGUUACCAUCAGCAAGGAGACCAGCAGCAGUAACUAACUACCAUGAAUUUUAAACUAAAAUAUAAGAUUUGUUACCGGCAGAUUACAAAGGAAAAGAGUCAUUCGGUGAUAGGAGUACUAUCAGAAAAGAAAAAUAUCUCUACUUACAAAGAAGUGAAUGAGGUUAGAUUUACUAAACUGGAUGGUAUUGGACCUUCAAAAGAGUUCCCUUGAAUCUCCUAUAUAAACAUUAGGGAGUCUUUCUUACACAGCUCAUAGUUCUUUAAGUUUAGCAAAUGUUGAGGGGAUCUCACCACUUAAUGCACAACUGUUAAUGUAU
rnacentral:lncRNA from 1 species